rnacentral:rRNA from 1 species
UUCCAGACUCCUACGGGAGGCAGCAGUGGGGAAUAUUGCACAAUGGGGGAAACCCUGAUGCAGCGACGCCGCGUGAGUGAAGAAGUAUUUCGGUAUGUAAAGCUCUAUCAGCAGGGAAGAAAAUGACGGUACCUGACUAAGAAGCCCCGGCUAACUACGUGCCAGCAGCCGCGGUAAUACGUAGGGGGCAAGCGUUAUCCGGAUUUACUGGGUGUAAAGGGAGCGUAGACGGCAUGGCAAGUCAGAUGUGAAAGCCCGGGGCUCAACCCCGGGACUGCAUUUGAAACUGUCAGGCUGGAGUGCAGGAGAGGUAAGUGGAAUUCCUAGUGUAGCGGUGAAAUGCGUAGAUAUUAGGAGGAACACCAGUGGCGAAGGCGGCUCACUGGACUGUAACUGACGUUGAGGCUCGAAAGCGUGGGGAGCAAACAGGAUUAGAUACCCCGGUA